rfam:Ahrensia sp. LZD062 contig15, whole genome shotgun sequence.
GUCUGGCGGUCCAAACGCCGGGGUUUUCGAGACACCACUUUCAUUGCCAAAUGUGCGGCGGAGGAAUCCCCAAUCAAAGGCAGAACCGGUCCAAUCCAAAUGGACCACAAUCUCGCUGCUUGUUCAUCGU